CACUGUUGUUUUGUUAGCAGGUUUUCUGUAGUGCAGUAAGCGCACAUGUGAUGUGAUUCGGCUGCCAAUGGAAUGGGGGGAGUAAUCAAAAGCCCACUUGUGAUGCCACUGGGCAGCGAAAAACUAAGUUUCUGGCGGAGCCAGAAAUGCCCUUAUCCAGAUGGUGUGACAAAGGCAUUUCCAAACAGACCUGCUAACUUUCUUUGUUGUUCCUUUUAACGUUGGAACCAACAUGGAGUAUCUCCAGUAGGAAGAGAGGCAAGAACCAUUCGUCUGCCAGCUCAGGGACAAGCUACACUAUUCACAGCAAUUACAUUGCAAUGUUCAAUGUAAUUGCAUUGCUGGACUUUUUGAAACUUAAUGUAUUUGUAUUGCUUAAAAAAUUUACAAAUAAAAGGAAAUGUAUGGUUUAAACGGGUGUUUAAUGUUAAUUUGUUUUAGCUGUUAGUGAUCAUUCCCAGUGUUAAUACAUUUGUGUUUACAUCAUUAAGCCUUUAUGUAUCUAUUGUGAUCAAAGGGGUCUGACUUUAUAGUAAGCAGAGCCUCAUAGGAUACAAGGCAUUUAUGUGUUAUAAAUUACCAAAGGGGUCUGACAUUAAAUUAAGUACAGCUUCAUGCGAUAUAGUCUUUAUGGACGUGUUAUGAAUGACUGAAGGUGUCUCACUUCAAACUAAGUAUUACAGGACAACAGUGUCAAUAAAUAUGUUAUUAACGUUC